AUCUCGUAUUUCUGGCUGCAUCGUGCCGCCACCAUUUGGGGACUUCUGCAGCUCUCUUACAGAGCCAUCUGCCCCCACGCUAGGCGGACAGUCUCCAGCUCUGGUAGCUGCUGGACUGAGGAGUCCUCCAGUUUGCAGUUUCCACCUGCAGUGGGGCUGAAUAUCCUGUUCCAGAAGCCCUUUGUCUACUUGGGCGCUUUAGUAUUCCUGUCUCCGAACCCAGCGGUGGGAGACAAGGGGACAUUCUCAGAGUCCCUUCUCAGGAGCACACUGGUCACUGACUGCAAGUAAACCUCAUGUGGAACUGUUUGGCCUGGUGUGGUCCUUCUGAAGCCGGGAGACAUUCAAGAUCAUAACAAUGAGUACUCAUGAAACCUGCAAUCCUGGAGCUCUCUGCAUCGCUUGUAUGCAGCUCAACAGGCCCCAGAGAUCUCCUCACUACAAUGAAGCUGGUAUGAGGCUUCUCCUUCACCAGGUACAGAGUGGGACUGGAGACCGGAAGCAGCGGGGACUCCCGCUAGGAUGUGUGUGGUGGUACUGAGAAGCUGCUCGGUGCUGGCAAUGGCUUCCCUACUGGGUUACCACGAGCUGCACCUUAGCAGAGAUGCGCGUCCCUCAGCGGCCUAUUUGUUUCCUGCUUUGCUUUGAUAAGUGGUAUCUGCGAUGACAGCGAGAGCACACAUAUAUCUAACUUUAAAAAGAUUCGAUUCUGCCCAUUAUGAUUUCCUCGCUGCUGGUAUUUUGAUGAAGAGGGAGACAGACAGUAACGCUUCCCCGAGAAAGAAACGGAUCUCAUCCUACCUCCUGUUGGUCUUCUGUGUCUGUGUUAGCCACUGUCAGCGGAAACCAGAGAAGACUAGGUCUUGCGUUAUGAGAGCCAGAGCCUAGGGCCUGACACAGUUCAUUCUUCAUCGUAGAACCCAGGUGACUCCUCCUUCCAGGACCCAUCAAAAUCUUAUCUUUAAUUCAUAAAGUGUAUAUUUGCUAA
rnacentral:lncRNA from 1 species